CGAACGGGUGAGUAACGCGUGGGGAAUCUGCCUUUGAGCGGGGGACAACAUUUGGAAACGAAUGCUAAUACCGCAUAAAAACUUUAAACACAAGUUUUAAGUUUGAAAGAUGCAAUUGCAUCACUCAAAGAUGAUCCCGCGUUGUAUUAGCUAGUUGGUGAGGUAAAGGCUCACCAAGGCGAUGAUACAUAGCCGACCUGAGAGGGUGAUCGGCCACAUUGGGACUGAGACACGGCCCAAACUCCUACGGAAGGCAGCAG
rnacentral:rRNA from 1 species